GUCAUGCCUGGUGACGGGCUUGCUUCUGUUCUGGUUCCACGUACUCCCAGAGAUGGCUGCUUACUCGACCCAGGGCUGGAGGGUAGAGGGAUCUGUAGGGAAUCGCUAGCUGGCCCUCUGGUCCCUCCUGGUCAGGCCUUGGCCUGGCUAAGUGUUCCUGAGUGGCAAAUUCUGAGUGCCUCUGUCCCGGGAGCCCGUGAGGUCAGAGGAUUCUCACAACAAUGGUGUCUGCACUGGUUUCCUGUUUCAGAUGUACAUAGCUCUCAUUUCCUUGCACGCCCUCAUCAUGGUGGGAUUCCACUUCCUGCAUUGCUUUGAAGAAGAUUGGACAACCUAUGGACUGAACAGGGAAGAAAUGGCAGAGACUGGAAUCUCUCUUCAUGAAAAAAUGCAGCCCCUUAACGUCAGUUCAACAGAGUGCAGCUCAUUCUCUCCACCCACCACGGUGAUUCUACUCAUCCUGCUGUGCUUUGAGGGCCUGCUCUUCCUCAUUUUCACAUCAGUGAUGUUUGGGACCCAGGUACACUCCAUCUGCACAGAUGAGACGGGAAUAGAACAAUUGAAAAAGGAAGAGAGAAGAUGGGCUAAAAAAACAAAAUGGAUGAACAUGAAAGCCGUUUUUGGCCACCCCUUCUCUCUAGGCUGGGCCAGCCCCUUUGCCACGCCAGACCAAGGGAAGGCAGACCCGUACCAGUAUGUGGUCUGAAGGACCCCGACCAGCAUGGCCACUCAGACACAAGUCCACACCACAGCACUACCGUCCCAUCCGUUCUCAUGAAUGUUUAAAUCGAAAAAGCAAAACAACUACUCUUAAAACUUUUUUUAUGUCUCAAAAUGGCUGAGCAUUGCAGAGAAAAAAAAAAAGUCCC
rnacentral:sRNA from 1 species